UCUCCCUUGAGUUUUGAUACUUGUAUUGAUAUUGUAGGCUCUUUUAAGUAAAUAGUUGUCCUUAUUGGGUUAUUUUUAUUUACUUUAACACACUGUAGCUUUAAAUUCACAAAGCACAACACAUGUCCUGCUCUUUUUUACCAGUUUUUUGUCCUUCAAAAUGUUUCCCUAAAAACAUUGACUUUGGUAAACCUUACCUCCGUACCAAACACAACAGCCUCAAAAAACCCAGGUAUAACUUCAAGGUCUGACAUGAACAUCAUUUGAUAAACUUAACACAACGACAGAUGUUAUGGGGGAAGGUGCCGAAUGCCAGACUAACCUGAUGAUAUUAAGAAAAAUGUGGAAGUAUAUGAGCCUCCUGUUACCUGGAACUGAGAAAGAUGCAAUAAUGAAUGCAAUAUACUGGAAGUAAAAGAUCAAAAUAUAGACUUUAGUACCAAUUUUUGUUAGUAUUAUUUUUUUCUUCAAACUGUAUGGCUUAUUUUGCAUGCCCUUACCUGUAUUUGUGUAUAUAUUUAUUUUUACUGUUAUACAAUGUAUUUAUAUUUUUUUAAAUAUUGGUAUUCAUUGUAUAAAACCCUCCCUGUUCUUCGUAACCUUUUAUUUUUAAACAGGUAUUAAAGACCUAAAUAUGUUGGGGGCUAAAAUUCUACUUGAACAAGCUAUUAGCAUAUGUAAAAUUUGUUUUGAAAAACAUUUCUCCCUGUGAAAAAUCAUCAAUCGGUUAUAUGAUAAAUAAAACAGUAUCUUGCUUAAA